rnacentral:other from 1 species
UGUCCCCUGCGGUGUUUGUCAGGCUCAUAAUUCUUUGAACCAAUAAGCGCUGCUUAAGGUUGUAACCCACUCAAUUGCUGUUGUGAGCGUCCCUUAGUCGGAUGUUCCUGAUGCAACCGGGAAGCGACCAUCUUGAACCCAGGUUCAAGACAUUGAGCCAACGGCACAGGCGGGGGGCUU